rnacentral:rRNA from 1 species
CGGGGGGGGGGGCAAGCGUUGUUCGGAAUUACUGGGCGUAAAGGGCGUGUAGGCGGUCCCGCAAGUCUUUCGUGAAAUCCCACAGCUCAACUGUGGAACUGCGAGGGAAACUGCAGGACUUGAGUCCGGGAGAGGAGAGUGGAAUUCCCAGUGUAGCGGUGAAAUGCGUAGAUAUUGGGAGGAACACCGGUGGCGAAGGCGGCUCUCUGGACCGGUACUGACGCUGAGGCGCGAAAGCUAGGGGAGCAAACGGGAUUAGAUACCCCGGUAGUCCUAGCCUUAAACGAUGAGCACUUGGUGUGGCGGGUAUCGACCCCUGCCGUGCCGAAGCUAACGCAUUAAGUGCUCCGCCUGGGGAGUACGGUCGCAAAGGCUG